rnacentral:rRNA from 1 species
AACAAACGCUGGCGGCGUGCCUAAUACAUGCAAGUCGAACGAGGAAAGCUUUCGGGUGAGUACUAGUGGCGCACGGGUGAGGAAUAUAUGGGUAAUCUGCCCUCGAGUUGGGGGUAACCAGUCGAAAGACUGGCUAAUACCGAAUAAGACCACAGGAUCUGCGGAUCUAGGGGUUAAAGGUUUUUCGCUUGAGGAUGAGCCCAUACGGGAUUAGCUAGUUGGCGAGGUAAUGGCUCACCAAGGCUGCGAUCCCUAACUGGUCUUAGAGGAUGAUCAGUCACACUGGAACUGAGACACGGUCCAGACUCCUACGGGAGGCAGCAGUAGGGAAUAUUGCACAAUGGGGGAAACCCUGAUGCAGCGACGCCGCGUGAGUGAUGAGGGCCUUCGGGUCGUAAAGCUCUGUCGUAUGGGACUAACACAAUGAAGGUACCAUGCAAGAAAGGAUCGGCUAACUUCGUGCCAGCAGCCGCCGUAA